rnacentral:tmRNA from 1 species
GGGGGCGAAACGGGUUCGACGGGGGUAGAGAAGCUCAAGCUGCAUGCCGAGGUCCUGGCUGCUCGUUAAACGGUCGGGAAUAAACACAAACGCAGACGAUUACGCGUACGCCGUAGCCGCUUAAGCGGCUGCCGUUCCACUGGCUUUCUCCCGCGGGGCCAACUGGAGCGUCGACUCAGUGGGAUGGUUCUCGGAAGAGCGCCUGCGCUUCCGAUAAUGACAUACAGCAGGCUGGCUGGCGAGGGAUCCUGCCCGAGGGGAGACCUCAACGGCGAGACUUCAGAACCCGGGAUAAGCAUGUAGAGGUUUGAGUGGAAUGCUUUCGGACGCGGGUUCAACUCCCGCCGCCUCCACCA